rnacentral:rRNA from 1 species
GACGAACGCUGGCGGCGUGCCUAAUACAUGCAAGUCGAACGAAGCCGUUUUAACUGGUGCUUGCACCGACUUAAACAACUGAGUGGCGAACGGGUGAGUAACACGUGGGUAACCUGCCCCAAAGCGGGGGAUAACAUUUGGAAACAGAUGCUAUUACCGCAUAACCACAGAAACCACAUGGUUUCUGUGUCAAAGAUGGUUUCGGCUAUCACUUUGGGAGUGACCCGCGGCGUAUUAGCAAGUUGGUAAGGUAAUGGCUUACCAAGGCAAUGAUACGUAGCCGAACUGAGAGGUUGAUCGGCCACAUUGGGACUGAGACACGGCCCAAACUCCUACGGGAGGCAGCAGUAGGGAAUCUUCCACAAUGGACGAAAGUCUGAUGGAGCAACGCCGCGUGAGUGAAGAAGGUUUUCGGAUCGUAAAACUCUGUUGUCAGAGAAGAACGUGUGCGAGAGUAACUGCUCGUGCAGUGACGGUAUCUGGCCAGAAAGCCACGGCUAACUACGUGCCAGCCGCCGCCGUAA